rnacentral:misc_RNA from 1 species
CUCCCACUGCGUUCCGCUGCCACACGAACACCGAGGCAAGUGCUGCGAUCCAUAGGACUGUGAAAAGGGUUUUGUGCGAAGACAAAAAUGCUUGCAUCCACCGCCUGAAUUCCAGCUUCUGGUACUGGAACCGCCCUAGUGGCGCCGUCUCUACCAUCAUUAAUUAGAGACUGAAGUCGACAACUUUUUGCCUUCUUUGAGUGAUUAGCUAGUAUUUUGAUUCAGCGAGAGAAGAUAUGGGAAAUGGAAAUUUGAGAUGUUGGAC